rnacentral:rRNA from 1 species
GACAGAGGGUGCAAACGUUGUUCGGAAUUACUGGGCGUAAAGCGCGUGUAGGCGGCUGCGCAAGUCGGAUGUGAAAUCCCGUGGCUCAACCACGGAAGUCGCACCCGAAACUGCGUAGCUUGAGUCUCGGAGAGGAAGGUGGAAUGCUUGGUGUAGAGGUGAAAUUCGUAGAUAUCAAGCGGAAGACCAGUGGCGAAGGCGGGUCUCUGGACAGUUCCUGACGCUGAGGCACGAAGGCCAGGGGAGCAAACGGG